rnacentral:tRNA from 1 species
GGGAGUAUAGCUCAGAGGUAGAGAGCACUUACCUAGAAUGUGUGAGGCUCUGGGAUCAAUUCCCAGUCUCA